rnacentral:lncRNA from 1 species
CUCAGCCCCUUCCCAGCUCCCUCAGGAAUUCUCCAGCCCCUUCCCAGCUUCAUUCCCUUCCCUGGACACGCUCCAGCCCCUCCAGGUCUCUCUGAAAGUGAGGAGUCCAGAAAUGAAAACAGAAUUUCAGAUGUAUUUCAGUAGAAUUUCCUCAGUGCUGCUGCACCUGGAAAAGUUUAGAAGUUGAUUUUAAUUUUGUUUGUUCUUGAGCAAACUUUUGUGUCAUAACAUGCUGCUAAUUUGAAUUAUUUGGGAAAAAUCUCAUGGGUUUUGGUGAUUAGUUCAUCCAGAAAGUUCCUUCAGCUCAUGAGUUGUGCAAGACUGAGUUGGGCUCAGGUUGGGCCUCACUUUUUGUGUCUUUGCCUGAAUAAGAGACUCAAUUAUGCUGCCCUCUCAGGUGAGGGGGUUGUUUGGGUUGGGGAAAUAAUCUCCUCUACCCAUUUAAUAGACAACUGGAGUGAUAAAAAAAAAAAAAAAAAAAAAAAAAGUUGAAAGCAACAAAAUGAACCAUCUUUCUGGGGGUGGGAGGUCAGGGCAAUGGACUGAGGAGCAAAAUAUAUGGACUUUUUUGUUUUCUCCAUAAGGUUUACUCUAAUUAAAAAGUUAAGAUGUGUGUAGGAUCAAGACCUGUUUGAACAUAUCACUCAUUUCGCCUUUGAUUUAAUUGGCACAUGCCAUUUAUCAAUCUCUUGGUCUUGGAGCCUUUCAGAUUUACUGUAGGAAGGACCAAUUCCAUCUUCUACUUCAAAAACUGAAGAUGAGAGCAUAACAUUAUAUUAAUCUUUUAUGGUAAUAUACAUUUUUUGACACUUUUAAUGUAUUAUUUAUUUUGAGUCAUUGAAACUCUAAAUAUACUGCAAAAAUCUAUUUAACAACAUAGGUCUGCAACAUACUUCAGAAUAAUUAAUUAUUUCAAGGUGAAUGUGUAGGUGUCUGCAGCUAAAUUAGUUGUUUCACAAUAUAUUUUGAGUUAUUUCACAAUCUUAUUUAAUCAUCACUUUCUUUUCAUUUAAACUGUUAUGAAAUCAAUUAAAUUAAGAUCUGAAAUUACAAUUCUUCAAAAGAAGCUUUGUCUUCUCAGUCUUCACCUCCCUGCCCCUUAAAAACAUUUCAUCAAACAAUUGGUUUUUCUGAAAGCAAAAUAACACAAAAUGGGAGGUAUUCAAUAAUAAAAGCCUUCCACAGCUCAGUAUUUAGAGCACUGAAGAGAACAUCUUCUAGAGCAAGCCACUGAUUGCUCAGGUACUUUUUGGCACUGGGAUCUUUUCUUGUCAUUGCUUAUCUUUGGAUACUGCCAUUCACAAAAAAAAAAAUAUUACCUCAUAAGCACUUUUUUUUUUUUUUCCCAUCAGAGCAUUGAGUUACUCAUCAGAAAAAUAAGAAGUAGUUUGUGUUAAUAAAUACCUUUCACAGUGGAGUGGGCAACGAUCUGUUUUGAGGGAGGAAAGAAAGGCAAGUGGAUGGACAGACAGGCUGACAGAGAUUAGCAAGUCUUCCCAGCAUCCCUAUUUAAGCUAUUUUUACUCAGAAGGCAGGGAGUAAGACUUAAGAGUGAGCCAGCAAUCCUAUUUAUAGAAAGCCAUUUUUAAAUGCAAAGGCUCUGAGAAGGAGAGUCACCUCCAUCCCAAACACCAGGCUCCCUGGAGCUCCCUCUGCACCGAGGAGGGAACAGCCCGAGCUGCAGCACUGAUGUGCUCCUGCUGAAGCUUCCAGAAGGACAUUUCCCUCAGAAAUGCAGGAGUUUGGGCCAUGGAGCAGCCCAAGAGCAUGGCUGAAAAUAGCUCUCUGCUCCACAUCCCCGUGGCAGAGACAAAGGCACACCCAGGGAUCACCCGAGGAAUUCUUUGCCUGGAGCCUCUCCAUGUAUUCUCUUGGACGUCCUGCUCGUGUGGCCCUCAGUUUAAUUUGUCAAGGAUGCAGUUCCUUCUGAAAUUUUAAAAUUAACAUAUAUAUUUCUGCACAUUUACAUAUGUAAAUCUACAUAGCUUAUAAUUGCUUAAAAACUACUGCGUACAGAAAAUCUGGCACUUGCUUUGCUGUCCAAGUGUGCUUGAUGCUAUUUUCUUCCAAUUAAUUACACUGUAAUCCCAUGCAGAAAAUUUGUGGUUUAAGGUCUAUGUUUUGCACUAGGCUAAAAAUUAUUCUCAGAAACUUUCUGCCACCUAAAUUUUUGGAGUAACUUUAGGGAGCCCUUCAGUGUUUUAAGAAUAUCAGAAUCAUAUUUUUGAAAUGACCGGGACUAUUUCAACGCAGCCAAAAUAUAAUUACACUGCACUGUAGCUGCAAAUAGUUACCUAUCUACAUAAUCUACUCACAGUGAUUCUGUAGAUAAGAUUGUAGGGUUGCUGUGUCUAUAUAAAUAUAUCUGUUGGUGUGAAAUCCUCUCAUGUGGUUUUGCAAAUGAGUGGCUCAUGCUGAGCUUGCACGCUCGGGGCGUUCGUCUCUCAGCAUUGCAGAGUGGCAGCCCCCAGUGGCUCCAGUUUUUGGGUGCCAAAAUGGAAUUUGGGGAUUUGUGGAAGAGCUUGUUCCCUGCUCUGUUCUUUAUCCCCAUGAUAACAACUUGUUCAGUGAAGUUUUCUAGAGGUUUAGUAGUUAAUGUGGAGUGCAAAUGACAAAUGUCAGUCUUUGGAGUAUGUUUUUUGUUUAAGCUGGCUCCUGUUUUAGCUGGGAAGAGUUUUUGGGAUGCUGGAAUGUGCAGGCUUAGAGGAACCCAUGUUCCACCCACUAAUCUCAUUGUAGGAUUUGAGUGCACCCAAAUCUACUUGGUUGCUUUUUUUCCCAGCCCAUGGAAAGGUGAUGCAUGAAGUGCAAGCUCUGGGUUCUGUUGACUUCUCUUGUGCAAUCGUUUUUCUAUCAAAAACCAUUUUUUUUUUGUUUUUGUUUGUUUGUUUUUUGUUGUUUUGUUUUGUGGUAUCACCUUCUGAAGUCUUUGGGGUUUUUUGUGUGAGUUUUAUUAGGAAUUUUGGCCCUGACUCAGGAAAAUACUGUGGGUGCAUAGAGUCAGUCGCUUGAUAAUUAUGAGGUGAGCAUGUGACAAGCUGUUAGAACACUCCUGGCUUGAGCUAAGGACAGAACAAGUCCUUGACAAAGUCCUUUUUGUUAUGAAAAGUAGAUUCAGAUGUCCCUGGAAGGGGAUCUUGCUGGAAAAAAAUGUCAUUCGAGCAAAAUAAGCUUUAGGUGGACCUCAGCUUAAACUGCAGAUUGGUUCACCAUCCACACUACACAUUGUUCACCUGAAUUUUUUCCUCUCAUUAAGUGGCUUUUCUGUGAGGUAGUUUAAAAGCCAGUUCACAUAUUAUUUCUAGGCAAGUAAACCAUAAUUUGUGUUGCAACUGCACUUGUGAAGUACAAAGCAAAGUGUUUGCUGUGUCAUGAUAUGAAGGAAGCAAUUUGGGAAGCUGUCAGUGGAACAGAAGUUCUCCAGUUAUGUUUGCAGACAUCCAGUGUAGAGAGUUUUUUGCAUAGUUAAGUGAUUUUCAAAUGUCUACAGUAAUAUUUGCAUUAUACUUUAUGCUUUUAGCUAUAUUUAUUUAGGGAGAUUUCCUUUGUAUCUUUCUAGUUUUGUUGAGUGACCUCAAGGUUUCUCUUCCACAAUGACAACUUUUUUUCACAACCCUGUUAUGCAGGGGCUCUAGAAACCAGAUUUUCAUCAUUUCAGGCACAGACAGUGAGGUUCAUCCCACUACAGAACUUGAGUGCUAGGUGCUGGUUACCAUGGGUUUUGUUGUGUCAGCUGUGGCUGAGGCUUUUUGUUCUCAACUUUUUUGUAAAUAUUUAUCUAUAAAAUGCAGAAUGAAUGCUCAGGGGAGAGGGAAGGGUGGGGACACAAGGAUAACUUUUAGUGGGGAGGCUAAAGGAAGUGAAAAGGGUGAGCUGGGAUUGCACAGGUAUCCAGCCAGUGAUGUAAGAUGAGAAGAGGGAGGGCAUUCACAGGGCAUGAAUCCCUGUGGGACAGCAGGAGGGUAGGCUCUGAAAGCCAAAUUCCAGCUGGACAGUUUAUGGUGAAGGACCCUGAGGUCCUGGAUUCAAUUUGCAGUGGGGAAGGCAAAGCUGAGCCUGUUCCCCUGUGAGCUGUGGGUGGAGAACAAGACAGAAUGUGGCUUUGGGACUACUCAGUGCUCUGUUUUCGCUACUGGUCUGUGCCAGAGAAGCUGGUGCUACCCAUGGAUCCUGUGUGUCUAGGGAUAGGGAGCUCAAAACCCCAGCUGCCCUUGUCCUUCACUGCCUGCACUCAGAUUUUUCUUUCAUUCUUAUUAUUUAAUCUCUGCUGUAGGCUUAGGCUUUUGAGGCCUACUACCAGUCUUCUCUCCAAAUUUUCCCUAGUUAUUUAUAUUUAUUUCCCCUCUUCCCCUGAAGGCAAAUGGAUUUGGGGGAGUGGAGGAGAUCAAGGAUGGGCAGCAAUCUUAGAAAUGUCAGCGUGGCUGUAGGGGAGGAAGGGCAAGUGGAGCUGAGCGCCUUUAUUGGGCAGGAGGGAGAUAAUUAAUCCUUGGAAAA